rnacentral:lncRNA from 1 species
AUGGUACUAUAUAUUUUUAUAAAUAUUAACAAUUAAAAUAAAAACAAAAGAAAAGUAAAAAGCCCCUUAACGCAUCCUCGCCGCCAUCUGUUUCAUCUCUUCGUCGAAAAACACCAAGGUAACGCCACCAUACCACAACCUCUAUUCUUCAUCGCCAACGCCAUUUGGUAUAACCCAUCUUCAUCGCUGCUGCAAUUUUUCCCAAUAAAAAUCAUCCGUCCACUCCCGCUCAAGAUAUGAUUUGCAAAUCCACUAGUUGGCUGAUUCGAGGAAAAUUGAUGAAGACCAAUAUGUGCACCUUGUUCACCAUGAUGAGUAGAAACCAAUGGAGGUGGUGUGCGACCAUCAUUAGUAAUGUCGCACUGGAGUUUGGGACAGAAGGUGCGUGGUUCGCUUUCUUCGGAUUGUUGAUAUUUUGUUUCUGAUUUAAACUGUCUCUUGAUGAUAAUGGGCCAUGGAACUGCUCAUCUAUGGGAGUAUUAACGACUUAUGAUAAAG